GGAGUUGUGGCUUGGUGGUAGAGUGCUCACCUAGCAUGUGCGAGGCCCUGGGUUCCAUCCUUAGCACCA
rnacentral:tRNA from 1 species